AGCAUUGAAAUACUGUUUCCCAUACAGUCACCAAAGUUAAGCAAAGUUGAGCCUGGUCAGUACCUAGAUGGGUGAUCACUUAGGAAUACCAGGUGCUGUAA